rnacentral:rRNA from 1 species
GAUGAACGCUGGCGGCGUGCCUAAUACAUGCAAGUCGAGCGAACAGACGAGGAGCUUGCUCCUCUGACGUUAGCGGCGGACGGGUGAGUAACACGUGGAUAACCUACCUAUAAGACUGGGAUAACUUCGGGAAACCGGAGCUAAUACCGGAUAAUAUAUUGAACCGCAUGGUUCAAUAGUGAAAGACGGUUUUGCUGUCACUUAUCGCUGGAUCCGCGCCGCAUUGGCUAGUUGGUACGGUAACGGCUUACCACGGCAACGCUGCGUAGCCGACCUGCGAGGGGGAUAGGCCACCCGGGAACGGGGACGCGGACAAGGGGACUACGGGAGGGAGCAGUAGGGAAUGUGACGCAGUGGGCGGAAGCCUGACGGAGCGGCGGCGCGUGAGUGGUGAAGGUGUUGGGAGCGGAAAACUGUGUUAUGAGGGAAGAACAAAUGUGGAAGUAACUAUGCACGUCGUGACGGUACCGAGUCAGAAAGCCACGGCUAACUACGUG